rnacentral:lncRNA from 1 species
UCUCUUUUUCCUUUUCUGUAUUAUUUCCAAAAAUUCCACAGGACAGAAUAUUAAUCCAAAUGCAUUGAUUCCAAUUUCUAAAUUCCUAGAAUAUUGCAACCUAUUUAAUGGUACAACUUUCACUCAAAUCCAACCACCUUUUAUUCUCUGUAAAUAUUUAAAUGUGGUUUUUAGCAUUUAAAUAGGCCUUUGAAAAUCCAUAACUCCUAUUUUGCUGCUCCAAAACCAAAACCAAAAGUUGUCCCCUUCCUAGCCUUCCUCUUAGUAUUUUACAAAAAUAAGUUGACAUUUUUGUGAGCACUUUGACUUUUCUGUUUUUAUUAUUGUCUUAUUUUCCCGUUGUUUUCUUGCGACGUUAGAUCCCGUGUUUGACGAGGUAGCUGAGGAAGAAGGAGGAGCAGAGCCUGAAGACUUUGAAGAUCAAGCCAACCAAGGCAAGCAGCCCUUUGACCAUGACUAUGAUACCCCUUUAUAUGCAUGUCAUUUUUAGCUCUUUAUUAUCGAUGCAUCGGAAUCAUGAUGAGAUGGUGAACCACGUGGGUUGGUUACCACGAUUACUUCCUCGUUGAUACUUGCAGUGUGCAUGGCCCUACCUUCUUAUGAGGGUUAUGCCGAUGGGAGUAGAUAGGAUGCAAAUGUAGAUGCUACGCAAAUGGGGUGGGUUUGUGCAUGGUGAAGGAGGCAAUGUGAUUUCAAAAGUCUUUUCGAAAACCCCGUCGGGUGCCACCUAUGCCCGAGGGAGAUGAUGAGAUGGGUGACCACUUGAUGACGAAGUGGUGUGCCAAGGAAGGUGUGUGUUGUUUUCAAAACGGAUUGGUCGGAGUUGCGACCGUUAUUCCAACCUUACAUGCGCGACCACUCUACCCUUAUAUGGGAAAGGGAAUUAUUGAGUACCUAGACCGAUACUAGCUUGGAGCCCGCAUUACUAGUGACGGGGGAGAGUUGGUGCUCUCUCUUGGGACGGGGUCGUGCCAAGUAGGGCGGCCAUGACUGUUUUCACAGGGCACCGGACACACCGUUGGUCCCCCGUGCUUGUGGUAUGUGAUGAAAAUGGGAGCGAGGCUCCACAACUUUAUGAUGUGAAAUGUUCGGCACGGGGGUUACUACCAAUCGAGUGGACUCCAUGUUAGUGUCGUCUAGGGAAAGGUAGUGAUCGGGUGCUUACCCCGGGUACUUGAGGUACCGCGUGUCGUGGAUGACACGGAAGUUCCCCGGAUCUAGUGGGUAAAGUGUGCAACCUCUGCAGAGUGUAAAACUAUUCGAAUAGCCGUGUCCACGGUCAAGGACAGUUGGGUAACCGCUCUUGGGCUACGUCCACUUGUUUUCAAACCCGGUGUGUGUGAGAUGAUGGUGUUGUCUUGGAUCAAGUCAGAGGACUUGACACGAUUGAGAUGGGUUGGUGCCCUCUCUGUUUAUGAUAAAUGGGUUGGUGCCCCUUUCUAUUUAUGUUGAUAUCUGUGACCAGAUCUUAUGGUUACUUGAAUUCUCUUGAUGCAUGCUUUAUAGGAUGUUGAACAUGUCCUGCACUCAAAACUAGCUUUAUGCAAAACUUUACCUAUGUCAUGCAUUACUGUACCUUGAACCAAAUCAUGGGUUGCUUGCGAGUACAUUCAAAGUACUCAUUGGCUUGCCACUGGUUAUUUAAUUGACCAGGCAUGGGAGAACCGGAGUUCGAAGAAGAGUUCUUUGGAGACGAUCAUGCGAACUAGGACGUUCCCAGUCAGAAUGCCUGUAGGGUUAAGGCAGAUGGCAUGGGUUCUACUUAUCGACGACGAUUUCCGCUGCUAUGUUUCAUUUGAUGUUCAGCCCUUAAGGCUUUAUCGAUGUAAGACUUGACCAUGUUGGUCACUAUUUGUGUAAGACGGUAUGUAUGGAUGUAAGACUCUUGUUAUUCAGCUUCUGUGUGUUCAGUGAGCAUUGAUCUCUGGGAUCACUGUACACGUGCAUUCGGUGAUCACGACUUGCGAGUCGGGGUCCCCACAGAGCUGGUAUUAGAGCCAUCCUGACUGUAGGAAGCCUUAGUUAGCAUGGACGUUAGUUAGAGCGAGACUAUCCACCAGGUUACCCAUAUACCUAUGUUUAUGUUAGUAUCCCAAACAUAGGUCACAUUCCUUUAUUGACCCUUUCCCUUCCACUUUUUGUAGAUGGCCGCCGUACCCGAGGACUUCCUGACCACUGGGUUUCCUGUGCUUCUUGAGGAUAGCCUCAGGAAGUGCCAGUUCACUCAAGUCCCCACCUUCUCCUACCACGAGCACUGGGUCGACAGCACCAAGAGGGAGUAUCACGUGGAGGUAGUCGUGAGGGCGAAUGACGCCCCGACGAGCUGGUUCUUUGAGGGACCCCAGAUGGCGACACUGCUUCUCGCCGUGGAGACUGCUGCCCUCAAGGUGCUGACUCGCCUCCGGGAUCUCCUGCCAGAGAUGGCGAGAGAGCCAGCCACUCGUUACCUGCCUUAUCGUAAGGAAGGUGAUGACGAGAGCAGCGUACCAGCACCACCCUUGGACGAGGGACUUUCUCUCCGCUUCCAGACCUACUUCAGCUUGUGUGCCGACAGUCUGGCACAACACCUGGCCUCGGAGUCGACGGAGCUUCGGAAGGAACUCCGCGAGACCAAGGAGCUCCUCCGCAUAGUUCAGAUGAAGGCAGACAGGAUCAAGAAGGAUGGAGCGCCCCCUGGACAGCCCGCAGUAGCGUAUCGAGGCGGACGACCCCCACAGGUCGCACAUGCCGAGGGACCACCUCAGCCACGCCGUAUGACGGCAAAGGAGUACCGCAACCUCUUCAAGACGCCACCAGCAAAGCAGCGCCGUGUUCUGCUCCUUCACUCCCCCGCUUCCUCGAGCGAUGAGGAGACCAAGACAGAUGAAGAUGAGGAGGAAGAUCCAGAGGAGCCAGAAUACCCGACCGAGCAUUCCACCACUUAGACUCCGUUCAGGACUAGGAUAGGCUAGCUCGUAGCCUAUGGUAGGAUAGGUCGUGUACCCCUUUUGCGAAGUCGAGUCCUUGUAAUGGUUCUUGUGAAACCAUGUUAUGUUGCGUUUGCGUUCAGCUUGCUUUCAUGAAGUCAUACUUUCCCUUCGGGAACUUGUAAACGACUACAUUCCUCAUUUGGUUUUAAUGCAUGAGUUUGGCCCUUCUGGCCUUUGUUUAACUUAAAUUGUGUCACACCACCCCCUUACUAGGCAUUCCAUCUAUACUGCUUUCCCUCAUUGUUGUUCCCAAUCAUGAGACCUUGACCGCUCCAACAGGAUGCCUGUUGUAACACGUACUGGUACCUCUACCCAGCCGCAAGAAGCCGGAGGUUCUGCUGAGGCCGGAGCCAGCCAGGACCAAGCCCAAGGACAGACUCCACCACCACCUCCUCCAAGCAUGGAUAUGGCUCAGCUUCUCCAAGCCUUUCGAGAGGAGCGCCAAGCCAACACUGCAGCCCUCCAGAUGAUUGCUCAGGCUGUCAACCGCCAGCCGGCGGGGCACGGCCAUGGACGUUCCACACUGGUGGAAUUCAAGAAGCAUGCACCACCCACUUUCAUCGAGACUGCUGAACCCCUGGAUGCAGACGACUGGGUCCGCACCAUUGAGGAUCUGCUGGCACUAGUCGGAUGCACUGAGGACCGUGAUAAAGUGGCGUAUGCUGCCCACUGUCUCGGGGGGACUGCCAGAGCUUGGUGGGAUGGAUUCAAGGCUAUGCAUGUUGAGCAAGACAUCACUUGGGACACCUUCAAGACGGAAUUCCGCAAGGCCCACAUCCCUUCUGGAAUCAUGGCCAUCAAGAAGCGUGAGUUCCGAGCCCUGAAGCAAGGUAGUAGCACUGUCAAGGAGUACAUGCAGAAGUUCAGUGUUCUCUCAAGGUAUGCCCCUGAGGAUGUCAGCACUGAUGCUGCCAAAAGGGAGCGCUUCAUGGAAGGCCUUAACCAGACUCUACAGUACUCGCUUGUUGUGUGUGACUGCCCAACCUUUCCUGAUCUGGUGAACAAGGCACUCAUGCUUGAGGACAAGCGACGUGCCUUGGAUGACACUCGUAAGCGCAAGAUGAUCAGCAAGGGUAGCUCCAGCAACCAGAAGCCUCGCCCGUGGCAGCCAGCCCCGGUCAAGCCAACCUAUCAGCAGCCAAGAGCUCCUGCACCUCGCACCAACUAUCCACCUCAGCAGUAUGCCAACCCCAGGCCAGCUUACAACAACCCCAAUAACAAUGCUGGCAAGGGCGUCGUCCCCAAUCAAGUCACUUGUUUCGGAUGUGGACAGCCAGGGCAUUACUCCAAGAAUUGCCCCAACAAGAAACCUGACGCCCCGCGCCCCAAUGCGCAGAACCCGGGACAAGGCCGUGGAAUGCCACCAAGGAACCAAGCUCCCCGCAACUUGCCCAACAAUGGCAGGGGUCGUGUGAAUCAUGUCACCGCGGAAGAAGCCCAGGAAGACCCGGACGUCGUGCUGGGUACGUUCCUUGUCAAUUCAGCACCCGCAACUGUUUUGUUUGAUUCUGGAGCCACGCAUUCUUUUGUCACCCAAAGUUUUGCAUUAAAAAGUGGCAUGACCCCUACACCCCUGAAUAACCCUAUGGUGGUACAAACCCCCGGAGCAGAGAUGAGAGCCAAGUUAGGAUGUAAAGGAGUCGGGAUUACCAUUAACGGGGUAGACUUCCUAGCAGACCUUAUCAUCCUAAAAUCACAAGGCUUGGAUGUGAUCUUGGGAAUGGAUUGGCUCAGCAAGCACCAAGGCUUGAUUGAUUGCGCCAACCGGACGGUCACUAUGACCAAUGACCGAGGAGUCAAAGUCAAAUUUGCCUCCAACCCCUCUUCUGCUCAAGCCAACCAAGCCAACUGUCUGACUGAAGUUGGAUUGGAACAAGUGCCGGUAGUAUGCGAGUAUCCCGAUGUUUUUCCUGAUGAGCUACCAGGAAUGCCUCCUGACCGAGACAUUGAGUUCAUCAUCGAGCUCAUACCCAGAGCAGGACCCAUCUAUAAGAAGCCUUAUAGGAUGGGAUCGGAGGAGUUAGCAGAAUUGAAGAAGCAGUUGGAAGAGCAGUUGAGGAAGGGAUUUAUCCGCCCUAGUGCCUCCCCUUGGGGAUCACCUGUUCUGUUGUGGCAAAGAAGGACGGUACCAUCCGCUUAUGCAUUGACUACCGCUCCCUCAAUGAGGUUACAAUCAAGAACAAGUACCCACUUCCCAAGAUUGAAGAUCUGUUUGAUCAACUCAAUGGGGCCAAGGUGUUCUCCAAGAUCGACCUCAGAUCUGGGUACUACCAACUGAAGAUCAGACCCCAAGAUAUUCCGAAGACGGCAUUCGUAACCAGAUAUGGCCUGUAUGAAUGCACGGUCAUGUCCUUUGGGUUGACCAAUGCCCCAGCUUACUUCAUGUAUCUCAUGAAUAAGGUCUUCAUGGAAUAUUUGGACAAGUUCGUCGUCGUCUUCAUUGAUGACAUUCUUGUCUUCUCGAAGUCGGAAGAAGAACACGAGCAACACUUGAGGAUGGUCCUAGACAAGCUUCGAGAGCACCAACUGUAUGCCAAGUUCAGCAAGUGUGAAUUCUGGCUGCGUGAAGUUGGAUUUCUGGGACAUGUUCUAACAGAAGAGGGAUUGUCAGUCGACCCUGCCAAGAUAGAAGCCGUGACUGAAUGGCAAUCCCCGAGCAAUGUGAAGGAAGUCAGAAGCUUCCUCGGACUCGCGGGAUAUUACCGCAAGUUCGUUGAAGGAUUCUCAAGCAUUGCCCGCCCCAUGACUCAGCUCUUGAAGAAGGACAAGAAGUUCGAAUGGACGCCGAAGUGCGAAGAAAGCUUCCAGGAGCUGAAGAAGAGGCUAACCACCGCUCCAGUUCUGGCCACACCAGAUAUACACAAGGAGUUUGUGAUAUAUUGUGAUGCGUCAAGAAUCGGACUGGGAGGUGUUCUGAUGCAAGAAGGCAGAGUCGUGGCCUACCUUUCAAGGCAGCUACGACCUCACGAAGAGAACUACGCUACUCAUGACCUUGAGCUAGCAGCAGUGGUUCAUGCCCUGAAGACUUGGCGACAUUACCUCUUGGGGAAGCGAUGUGAGGUAUACACGGAUCACAAAAGUCUGAAGUAUAUUUUCACUCAGAGGGAAUUGAACAUGAGGCAGAGAAGAUGGCUGGAGUUGAUAAAGGAUUAUGACCUCAGUGUUCAAUACCACCCUGGAAAGGCUAAUGUGGUAGCAGACGCGUUGAGCAGGAAGGCUUGCUCCUUGAAUGCUAUGCUAAAGCACAAGCUACCCGCCUUGUAUGAAGAACUUGAAAGCUUCGGGUUGGAACUGGUUGCACCAGGAUUCUUGGCCAGCCUCAAAGUUAAGCCUACCUUGAUGGAUGAUAUCAAGAAAGCUCAGAAGGGGCAUGAGAGUAUUGAAGGCAUCAAGAGGAAGAUCAAGGCAGGCAAAGCCUCCGGAUUCUCAGAAGAUGAGGAAGGAAUUGUGUGGUUUGGGAAUCGCAUCUGCGUGCCCAACAAGGUUGAGCUCAAGAACCUGAUCUUGCAAGAAGCUCAUGACAGCCCAUAUUCCAUCCACCCUGGGGGCACCAAGAUGUAUCAAGACCUGAAGGAAAGAUUUUGGUGGCACGGGAUGAAAAGGGAGAUUGCCACCUAUGUUGCAAAAUGCGACGUAUGCCAGAGAGUCAAAGCUGAGCAUCAGCGACCCGCUGGAUUGUUGCAACCCCUUAAGGUGCCUGAAUGGAAGUGGGACAGAGUCGGGAUGGACUUCAUCACCGGUUUACCCAGGUCAAGCAAGGGACAUGACUCAAUAUGGGUCAUCGUUGACCAUUUGACCAAGGUGGCCCACUUCAUUCCUGUCAAGACGACCUACAAGGGGAACCAGUUAGCCAGUCUCUACAUCAACCGAAUCGUGAGCCUUCAUGGUGUUCCCAAGGAGAUUGUGUCAGAUCGAGGAACCCAGUUCACCUCAAGGUUUUGGAAGAAAUUCCAGGAGGCUAUGGGGACCAAGUUGUCCUUCAGCACUGCUUUCCACCCACAGACCGGAGGUCAGACCGAGCGAGUGAAUCAAAUACUCGAAGACAUGCUCCGAGCCUGUGUCUUAGCUUAUGGAGCUAAGUGGGAAGAUUGCCUCCCUUUCACCGAGUUCUCUUACAACAACAGUUAUCAGGCCAGCCUUCAGAUGGCACCAUUUGAAGUGUUAUACGGGCGGAAGUGCCGUACACCUCUCAACUGGUCGGAGACCGGAGAAGGACUUGUCUUUGGGCCUGAUAUCCUUCGUGAAGCAGAAGAGCAAGUCCAGCUUGUCAGAGAGCGUCUGAAGUCUGCCAAGUCAAGGCAGAAGAGCUAUGCGGACUCACGUCGCAGAGACAUAAACUUCCGAGUUGGAGACCAUGUCUAUCUCCGGUUCACCCCUCUCAAAGGAGCCCAGCGCUUUCAUGUCAGGGGAAAGCUCGCUCCGAGAUACAUUGGGCCCUUCAAGAUCACUGAGCGACGAGGGGAGGUGGCUUACCAGUUGGAACUUCCACCUGAACUUUCUGAUGUGCACAACGUGUUCCACGUGUCACAACUCCGGAAGUGUCUCCAAGUUCCAGACAAGCCCGACCUCUACAAGGACGUCAAUCAUCAAGCCAUUGAUCUUCAACCUGAUUUGACUUAUCGUGAGCGGCCCAUCUGCAUUCUGGAUGAGGCUGAACGACGCACUCGAAGCCGCACCAUCAAGUACUUCAAGGUCCAAUGGAGCAACCACACUGAAGCAGAAGCAACUUGGGAGCGUGAAGACUACCUUAGAUCCGAAUUUCCGUAUCUCUUUUAAGCCUAGUUUAGGAAUCUCGGGGACGAGAUUCUUGUAAGGGGGGUAGGUCUGUCACACCGUGCAUUUUGUAACAUUUCAUUUUCAUUAUUAAAGCAUGAAAAUUUGGACCAACAAAAACUUUUUGCAUUUUUUUGGCUUUUAUUUGGAGUUGGUUUUCUCUCUGUGUUUCUUUCGAGUGCUUCUUGAAGUCAACUACUCUGCCCUCUAUAUUCCACCUCCUUACCCCAAGCUCCUGACCAAUGACCAUGCCAUGUGAAUAGUGCUAUAUGGAGUUUUCUUACAAAAAUAAUUUGGCCAGAAAGUAUUUUCUAAAAUUAGUUUUCCAAAAACCCCUGAAUUGAGGUUUGCACUACAAGUACUUGAUUAAGGGCAGUAAAAAUCUUUCCAAAAAUAUAUUAGACUCCUAUUAGAUAUAGGAUGCCGAGGAACCACAAAAAUAUAAUUUUAAAAGUUACUGUUCUAUUUUAUUUAAAGGCUUUUUCUUAAGGCCAGAAAUGGUCUUUAAUAGGAAAAAAUUACUUUACUGUUUCAAAAAUAUUUGACAAAAUUUAGGGAAACUCAUAGGACAUAUAUUGUCCAUAUAUAAGAGUUUCAACACCUGGUCAUGUUCAAAAUAUUGGUCAAAUCCCUCUAAAACCCUUUCUGGAUAUUUCAAGCUUUUGAAAUAUUUACAAAGGAAAUAUUCUCCAAAAAUUCCAGGAAAAUUCCAUCAUGUCACAUAUGACAUAUUAGAUGAUCUUGCCAAGUCUCAUGACUUGGAGAACAAGAUAACACCAUCAAAACCCCUCAAAACUAUCUCUGUCCAUUCUGAAGUUUGAUCAACUUUACAUUGCCAAGUAUGUCCAAAUGUGCUCAAACUUGGUGGACAUGCUUCAUUGGUCUAAUUAUGCAUCUGGACCAAAUGGCAUAGGUUGGAGAAUAGGAAGUCUUGGUCAAAGUGCCUCAAAACCCUCUCUGACCAGAAUCAAGUUUGAACUACUUUGCACUACCAACUUUUUCUCCAGGACCCCAACUUUGGUGAGCCUGAUCAUGUGACCAAAUAAGGCUACCACACCAAGUGGCACAUCAAGGAGAAAUGAUUUACUCCACUGGAUCUACACAAAUCCAUUUCUGCCCAUUUCUAGGGUUUGCAAAAGUUGCAUUGGCAACUUUGUCCAAAUAAGCUCAAAAUGGGUGGAAGGCCCUAAAUAUAUGUGACAUUUCACCCCUUGGAGUAUCUUGGCCAGUGGGAGUCAUUAGCUUACCCAAAACUCCAUCAAACACCUUCUGGCAAAAUACUAAAAAGCCUAUUUUUGCCACUUUCACUAAUCUCCUUGAGUUCAUCUUUUUGCCACAACCCCUCCUCACUCCCCUCUGUCACUUAGACACUUUUCUACCCGAGGAAGCAAUGUGGAGGAAGGAGGGAAUCACGUUUGUCCUCUCUGGACAACAGCUUCCCUUCUCUCUCCCAGCCUCUCUCUCUCCCCUCUGGACCCCAGAGCAUCCCAGGCUCUUUCCAGGUUUUGCCCCCUUCCACUGUAGCCUCCAGACAGAAAAGGACGCGCGCGCGACGCGGAAAACCCGCGGAUGCCGGCCAAAGUCGCGCUCUGGAGCGCCUGCCAGAGCGCCGACCGUUGACACCGCGCCUCCCGACCGCCUCGUGCCUUCCCAUCGCGCCAGUUGAUGUGUCUUGACGUCUGCGACACGCCGCCGUGCCGUCCCCAUUGUCUCUCCCUCUCUCUCCCCUCCUGCAGCGCGUGCCCGACGCCGUCCGGCUCGGCCAAUGGCCGGCCUCACACGCGCGGGCGCCAGAACACUCCCCCGCUCUCUCUCCUCCUCCCUGGCGCCCUACUCCAUCCCCACGAGCGCCGUGGACAGCUCCAACCUCUCUCCAACGGCUUCCAGAGCCGAUCCCGCGGGCGCCCGUAGGCCACGCCCACGGUGAACCGCGGACAGCCUAUAUAAGGCGCUCCCGAGCCCUUCUCUUCCUCCCUGUCGCCCCUCCACACACCCAAUCCACCCCCGGAACCACCCACUUCUCUCCAGAGCCGCCCGAGCUUGAGAUCGAGCUCGAGCUCCGCCGCCUCGGGUCGCCGUCGAUCUGCGGGUACAGGCCUCCUCCGCUCCUUUUCUCUCUCGAACUGGACUCCCCUCGCCUCACUGAUGCUUUCCCCUCUCUUUCCCCCUCGUUUUGCAGCCGGAAACGGCCGGAACCACCGGCGCCCGAAGCACCUCCGCCGCGGGACCUCGUCGCCGGCGAAGCAGGCCACCCCGGCGACCGUCUCCACCACCACCAGAACCGCGACUCGCUCCUGAGUCCAACGGUAGCCUCCGCGCCCCUUCCCGUGCCCUGUAUCGCCGCCGGCGAGCUCGCCGUCGCCUCUGGCCGGAGGUAGACGACGGCCGCCGUGGGGCCGGCCCGUCAGCCACACGCCCUGACGGGUGGGAUCCACCCGUCAGGUUUAAAACGUGCGCGCGCGCGCACACCGAUCCGCCGUCGGCUGAAGGCGUAUUCAGCCUUUACGCCUUCGAUGUGGCGGCCGCGUGGGCUGGGUUUCCCCCCCCCCUGGGCCUGCUGCUGCUGUGGCCUCUCUGGCCCAGUGGCACAGCGCCGUUUCUCUUUUUCCUUUUCUGUAUUAUUUCCAAAAAUUCCACAGGACAGAAUAUUAAUCCAAAUGCAUUGAUUCCAAUUUCUAAAUUCCUAGAAUAUUGCAACCUAUUUAAUGGUACAACUUUCAUUCAAAUCCAACCACCUUUUAUUCUCUGUAAAUAUUUAAAUGUGGUUUUAGCAUUUAAAUAGGCCUUUGAAAAUCCAUAACUCCUAUUUUGCUGCUCCAAAACCAAAACCAAAAGUUGUCCCCUUCCUAGCCUUCCUCUUAGUAUUUUACAAAAAUAAGUUGACAUUUUUGUGAGCACUUUGACUUUUCUGUUUUUAUUAUUGUCUUAUUUUCCCG